rnacentral:rRNA from 1 species
GAUGAACGCUGGCGGCGUGCCUAAUACUUGCAAGUCGAGCGAACAGACGAGGAGCUUGCUCCUCUGACGUUAGCGGCGGACGGGUGAGUAACACGUGGAUAACCUACCUAUAAGACUGGGAUAACUUCGGGAAACCGGAGCUAAUACCGGAUACAUGUUGAACCACAUGGUUCAACAGUGAAAGACGGUCUUGCUGUCACUUAUAGAUGGAUCCGCGCCGCAUUAGCUAGUUGGUAAGGUAACGGCUUACCAAGGCAACGAUGCGUAGCCGACCUGAGAGGGUGAUCGGCCACACUGGAACUGAGACACGGUCCAGACUCCUACGGGAGGCAGCAGUAGGGAAUCUUCCGCAAAGGGCGAAAGCUUGACGGAGCAACGCCGCGUGAGUGAAGAAGGUCUUCGGAUCGUAAAACUCUGUUAUUAGGGAAGAACAAAUGUGUAAGUAACUAUGCACGUCUUGACGGUACCUAAUCAGAAAGCCACGGCUAACUACGUG